UCAGCAAGUGCCAAGAAUGUGUUAUCCUCAGUAUUGAAGAAGCAAAAAAACAAAUAGUUAGUUACUUCCAGACUGCCCCGUUUUGAGUGAAAAGGAUUAAGCCAAGGCUACAGAUGAAACAUCUGGGUUGAAGCAAAAUCAUGUCGUUGCCUGAUUAACGACUAUGCCUCAUGACUACCUGGCCAGAUGACUCCUUGCCCUCCCCAGUUCACCUGGUCAUGCUUCUGCUCCAGUUUCAACUGUUUUGCCUGCGGCUAUUGGACCCUGACCUGUUCACCGGACGUGCUACCUGUCCCAGACCUGCUGUUUUCAACUCUCUAGAGACAGCAGGAGUGGUAGAGUUACUCUGAAUGAUCGGCUAUGAAAAGCCAACUGACAUUUACUCCUGAGGUGCUGACCUGUUGCACCCUUGACAACCACUGUGAUUAUUAUUAUCUGACCCUGCUGGUCAUCUAUGAACAUUUUAGCUUCUUGGCCAUGUUCUGUUAUAAUCUUCACCAGGCACAGACAGAAGAGGACUGGCCACCCCUCAAGGCCUGGUUCCUCUCUAGGUUUCUUCCUAGGUUCCGGCCUUUCUAGGGAGUUUUUCCUAGCUAUCAUACUUCUACACCUGCAUUGCUUUCUGUUUGGGGUUUUAGGCUGGGUUUUUGUACAGAACUUUGUGACAUCUGCUGACGUAAGAAGGGCUUUAUAAAUACAUUUGAUUGAUUGAUUGAUCUUGGGCCAUGCGAAAUACAAUUUUAAAGGCUCCCAUCUUCUCAACGAAGAGUACAUUAUGCCGUUUUAGGCAACUCUACACAUUUUGCCAUGGGGCAGGGAGAACAUUUAGCCAUUUAAAGCUUACAUUACAGUGCAUUUAUGUUCAAAGUAACAGUUUUAGUGAAUACAAGAAGUAUUGAGUUAAGAAAUAUGUAUUGUAGAUGAGUAAUAGUACAUUGUAUUGUAUUGUAUUGAACUGCACCUCUGAACUGCU